AUUCCAGCUCCAAUAGCGUAUAUUAAAGUUGUUGCAGUUAAAAAGCUCGUAGUUGGAUUUCGGGAUGGGUCAGUCGGUCUGCCGCAAGGUAUGUUACUGGCUUGCCUGUUCUUCUUCGCAAAGACUGCGUAUAGGCUUCAAUGCACGUGCGUAGGAUUUACGACGUUUACUUUGAAAAAAUUAGAGUGUUCAAAGCAGGCUAUCGCUUGAAUACAUGAGCAUGGAAUAAUGGAAUAGGACUUUGGUUCUAUUUUGUUGGUUUCUAGGACCGAAGUAAUGAUUAAGAGGGACAAUUGGGGGCAUCCGUAUUUCGUUGUCAGAGGUGAAAUUCUUGGAUUUACGAAAGACGAACAACUGCGAAAGCACUUGCCAAGAGUGUUUUCAUCA
rnacentral:rRNA from 1 species